rnacentral:lncRNA from 1 species
AAUGUUUAUAAUAAAAUAUUAUUUCAGAUAACAACAAAAUAAUAUGUAUAAGAUUUAUAGUAUAGAAAAUAUUUUUUUUUUUAUUUUGAUCAUUUAUCAUAUUAAUUUAUAAUCAAUUAGGUAAUAUGAAAUACAAUAUAAUAUUAUUAAUAUAAAAUUUGUUUUAAUUAUAUAAUAAGUCAAAUACCAAAAAUUAUGGAGAACAUGACACAUAAGCAAUUUUCAAACAGAAUUUUUGAUUUUCAAAGAAAAAAACAAUUGAAAAAAAAAAUUCCAAAAAAAAUUCAAAAAAAAAGAAUUAUAAAAAGUUCGAAUUUGAAAAUGUAUAAUUCGAAAACAUAAAAAAUAUUUUUUUAUUUAUUUAAAUAAUGAUUUAUUAUAUAUAUAGAUAACAUGAGUAUAAGAAUCUUUCGCCACUUAAUAAAGAAUAUAUUUUUGAAAAUAUCCUUUUAGUGGUGGUAAAGAUGAAAAGUGGUAACAUGAAAGUUGUAAACAUAGAAUUUUCCCAACUAAAUACCUUCAUUAUGAUGAUAGCUGAAAUAUCCACAGUGCAUAUAAAUAUGCUACUCACCUCUACCAAAAUAGUUGUAUGGUUCAAAUUUGAUAGAAUAUAAAACACCUAAAAGAGACGAGAGGGAAAAUAAACAGCGCAAAACCUUGUAAACAAUUAGAAAGGAUAAGUUACGAUUUCCCUAAGGCUCUUAUUCAGUUAUUCGUGGAACUCACUAAUUAAGUACUACUCUUAGACGGUGUUGGCAAUAUUGUCUUGUAGUAUCAGUUCCAUUAACCCAUCAUAUUUUUAAAAAUUAUUUUCAGGAUUAUGUUUAGUUAGCCACUUCCUUCAUACAUGGGCACACUA